rnacentral:rRNA from 1 species
UUAUGACGUACUUGUACUGAUUGAGAUUUUAACACGAAGUGAGUGGCGAACGGGUGAGUAACACGUGGGUAACCUGCCCAGAAGUAGGGGAUAACACCUGGAAACAGAUGCUAAUACCGUAUAACAGAGAAAACCGCAUGGUUUUCUUUUAAAAGAUGGCUCUGCUAUCACUUCUGGAUGGACCCGCGGCGUAUUAGCUAGUUGGUGAGGCAAAGGCUCACCAAGGCAGUGAUACGUAGCCGACCUGAGAGGGUAAUCGGCCACAUUGGGACUGAGACACGGCCCAGACUCCUACGGGAGGCAGCAGUAGGGAAUCUUCCACAAUGGACGCAAGUCUGAUGGAGCAACGCCGCGUGAGUGAAGAAGGGUUUCGGCUCGUAAAGCUCUGUUGUUAAAGAAGAACGUGGGUAAGAGUAACUGUUUACCCAGUGACGGUAUUUAACCAGAAAGCCACGGCUAACUACGUGCCAGCAGCCGCGGUAAUACGUAGGUGGCAAGCGUUAUCCGGAUUUAUUGGGCGUAAAGCGAGCGCAGGCGGUCUUUUAAGUCUAAUGUGAAAGCCUUCGGCUCAACCGAAGAAGUGCAUUGGAAACUGGGAGACUUGAGUGCAGAAGAGGACAGUGGAACUCCAUGUGUAGCGGUGAAAUGCGUAGAUAUAUGGAAGAACACCAGUGGCGAAGGCGGCUGUCUGGUCUGCAACUGACGCUGAGGCUCGAAAGCAUGGGUAGCGAACAGGAUUAGAUACCCUGGUAGUCCAUGCCGUAAACGAUGAUUACUAAGUGUUGGGAGGGUUUCCGCCCUUCAGUGCUGCAGCUAACGCAUUACGUAAUCCGCCUGGGGAGUACGACCGCAAGGUUGAACUUCAAAGAAUUGACGGGAGCCGCACAGCGGUGGAGCAUGUGGUUAAUUCGAACUACGCGAGAACUUACCAGUCUUGAAUCUCUGACAUCUAGAGAUUAGAGUUCCUUCGGGACGAAGGCAGGGGUGCAUGGUUCGUCAC